AUCGUGAAGGACAAGAAGUCACUAUGAUGACUGCUCGAGGGUCACCAAGGUUGAGCCUCCUCAAAAAAGUUGUCGAAAGGGAUAGAGCAUCACCUCCUACAAGCAGUGUGACAAAGAGGAGGAGAGGGUCUCCCAAAGAAGAUAGAGCACAGUGGAAUGCAAGCCUUGAGAAAGAUCUUGUGGACUUGCUUCAUGAGCAUGCUACACCUGAACAUAAGGGUCAAAAUGGAUGGAGCUCAGAAG